rnacentral:rRNA from 1 species
UACGAAGGUGGCAAGCGUUGUUCGGAAUUACUGGGCGUAAAGCGCGUGUAGGCGGCUCUUCAAGUCAGACGUGAAAGCCCCGGGCUUAACUCGGGAACUGCGUUUGAUACUGUCGAGCUAGAGUGUGGAAGGGGCGAUUGGAAUUCCGGGUGUAGCGGUGAAAUGCGUAGAUAUACGGAGGAACACCAGAGGCGAAGGCGGAUCGCUGGGCCAACACUGACGCUGAGACGCGAAAGCGAGGGGAGCAAACAGG